ensembl:lncRNA
AUCAGUGGCUGUCCUAACCUGUUUGUUGCCCUGGGCGAACAUUCCCUCAAGUCAUGAAUACAUAAUGGUUUUGGAUUUACAACAUUAUGAAUGAAAUGUGCUCUAUUUGGAAGCAGCAGGGCUCUCCUCCCCUUUCGUCGGGUUAUGUGUGAGACUUUAAAUCAUCAAACUUAACUGCAGCCUCGUCGUCUACUGGACUGUAUGUAGCGGAGAUGACAAUAAAGUUUACUUUGACUUCAGCAGCGAGCAGGCGCACCGAGGGCUCGCGCUCACUUUUCGUGUAUAGAAUUUCGAAAAAACAUCGGUGCAAAUUAUAAGUCUGUAUCAUUAUGUCUGGUGUUUUCGUGUUUGUUGGUUUGUUUUUAUUUUGUUUUAUUUUGCGAGUUGGUUAUUAGAAGCUGCUCCAGCCAGCCAGAGAAUCCCCCGCCGCCCCGCCCUCUCCUCCCUGUGCCGCAAGCAGCAGGCGCACCUCGCAAACGGAGGGCGCCCUUACUCCCAGCAAAUGGGCGAUAGAAAACCGAUCGGUGCCUCUGCCAUUCCCAAUAUGCGCUGGCUGAUGUCGGGGCAGCAUGAGUACGAGCAAUUUUUUUUUUUGCCGAUGCCCGUGAUGCCGCCCCUCACCACGAUGCCGCCCGGGUCGCCCGUAUCAAAAACCGCUACUGGGUUGCAUCAUAUUCAAACAUUCAUGAAAAAUCACCCUUGAUAGUUGACCCACAACUUUCAACACAUUCUUGCUUUUUAAUGAAUAUGAUGACUCCAGGCUGUGCCAAUGACUGUAUUGGGCUGUCACAAUGCAAUGUGUGCGCGCGCGAUAGUGUGACUGCGCGCGCGCGUAUAUGUGUGUGCGGGUCUAUGUUUGAGAUCAGGAAAGAAGGAGAAAAGGCGCUGCCGUAAAGGCUAGUGUAGGAGCGCAAGAAAAUUUAUGCGGCGGAUAAGAGUCGGCUAGUUUAACCGCGGCUCACAAAUGACGUCUCACUUGACCGCGGUUAUGGACUAGACCAGCAAAAAUGCCAUUCAGCUCAAGUCACUUACUGCCGUUGGGGGUGAGUAGAUGAAGACGGGACAAAGGCGCGGUGGAAGAGAGCCAGAGAUGAAUAACUAAUAGUUAAAGGCGUAAAGAGAGGCGUAAAAACAGUGAAAAAGGUGAGUGAAGAAGAAACAAUGCAUCAUGGGAAUCCCCCAACAGCCUUGACCUAUUGCAGCGUAAUUAGAUAGAAUGCCAUUUAUUGUCACUAUACACAUUUACAAUGAGUAUCUCCUACUCAGUGCAGAUAUGUGGGAAAGAAAGGGAAGUCCACAGUUCUGCGGCACUAUAUACACAUGAACAGUAUUCAAAAAUAACAAAUAUACAAAUAUCGGGAA